AUGGCAGUAGGUCAGUGGUAGAGCUUCCGCUUCGUAAGCGGGAAGACCUAGGUUCGAUUCUUAGGUUCGAUU
rnacentral:tRNA from 1 species